UGGGGAAUAUUGCACAAUGGGCGCAAGCCUGAUGCAGCCAUGCCGCGUGUGUGAAGAAGGCCUUCGGGUUGUAAAGCACUUUCAGCGGGGAGGAAGGCGUUAAGGUUAAUAACCUUGGCGAUUGACGUUACCCGCAGAAGAAGCACCGGCUAACUCCGUGCCAGCAGCCGCGGUAAUACGGAGGGUGCAAGCGUUAAUCGGAAUUACUGGGCGUAAAGCGCACGCAGGCGGUCUGUCAAGUCGGAUGUGAAAUCCCCGGGCUCAACCUGGGAAGUGCAUUCGAAACUGGCAGGCUAGAGUCUUGUAGAGGGGGGUAGAAUUCCAGGUGUAGCGGUGAAAUGCGUAGAGAUCUGGAGGAAUACCGGUGGCGAAGGCGGCCCCCUGGACAAAGACUGACGCUCAGGUGCGAAAGCGUGGGGAGCAAACAGG
rnacentral:rRNA from 1 species